rnacentral:rRNA from 1 species
GCCUGGUAGUGGGGGACAACGUUUCGAAAGGAACGCUAAUACCGCAACGUCCUACGGGAGAAAGCAGGGGACCUUCGGGCCUUGCGCUAUCAGAUGAGCCUAGGUCGGAUUAGCUAGUAGGUGAGGUAAUGGCUCACCUAGGCGACGAUCCGUAACUGGUCUGAGAGGAUGAUCAGUCACACUGGAACUGAGACACGGUCCAGACUCCUACGGGAGGCAGCAGUGGGGAAUAUUGGACAAUGGGCGAAAGCCUGAUCCAGCCAUGCCGCGUGUGUGAAGAAGGUCUUCGGAUUGUAAAGCACUUUAAGUUGGGAGGAAGGGUUGUACGUUAAUACCGUGCAAUUUUGACGUUACCGACAGAAUAAGCACCGGCUAACUCUGUGCCAGCAGCCGCGGUAAUACAGAGGGUGCAAGCGUUAAUCGGAAUUACUGGGCGUAAAGCGCGCGUAGGUGGUUCGUUAAGUUGGAUGUGAAAGCCCCGGGCUCAACCUGGGAACUGCAUCCAAAACUGGCGAGCUAGAGUAUGGUAGAGGGUGGUGGAAUUUCCUGUGUAGCGGUGAAAUGCGUAGAUAUAGGAAGGAACACCAGUGGCGAAGGCGACCACCUGGACUGAUACUGACACUGAGGUGCG